rnacentral:misc_RNA from 1 species
CCGAGUAUAGGGCCCUUUUAGGGCCCGAACUCCCACCCAUUGUUUACUACCUUUGUUGCCUCGGCGGGCCCGCCAGGCCCCCUUAUAGGGGCCCGGCAUCCGGCCCUCGCGCUGGACAGCGCCCGCCAGAGGACCAAUCAAACCCGAUUUUUACCGGCAGUCUGAGUAAAUAAAUAAAUAAGUUA